rnacentral:rRNA from 1 species
GCGCGGCAGGAUGAGCCGAUGUUCGAUUAGCUAGUUGGAGGGGUAAAGGCCCACCAAGGCGACGAUCGAUAGCCGGUCUGAGAGGAUGAUCGGCCACACUGGGACUGAGACACGGCCCAG